GAUUGGACGCAGCAGGGGAUCCCCCAGCAUUCCGUUUCUGCCUCGCUUGGCAUAUCAUCAUCUUUUACCGAGAGGAGAUGAGCUCGCGCCGACUCUCACUCGCAGAGGGCAGCAGUAACAGAGGACAGUGUUAUUUCUCCGUUUUACCGGAGCGCGCUCUCUCGCUCCUUCUCUCUCCCUCCCUUCUCCCGCUGCUGUGCUGCAGAAACGGUUCUUACUGUAGCCGUCGCUUAUGCCGGACGGCCGGGACAGCGCGAGGAAAGAGUAGAGAGCAAAGGGGAAAGGUGUUUCAACACCUGAGCGAUUUGUUUUCGAAAAGAAAGGGACGUUAUGGACGAAAGAAACGUCAGCGUUUAACUGACUCACUGUUAGUUUAAUUGUAGUUUCACGCUGGGGAGACAGGAGAAUCGACCAUUUCAUCUGUCUUCACAGCCGACACUUCAUUUCACGUGUGCGUCGUUCUGACAGCCGCGCGCGCCGUGCAGCCUCGGAAACGGUCCUCGAGCCUCUCCGGCUGGUCCGCGCAACGGUGCAUUUGAAGAAAACAUAACCCACACUCUAAAAGCACUCAGUCCUCGGGAGAAGAAAGAAAACACUUUAUCCCGUGUUUCGAAUUAAGCUGACGUUGAUUUGGAAUAAACCGUCUAGAAACAUUAACGACGACAAGCUGAACAAGACGAAGAAGUUUUUUUGUG